AUUACGUUUACCCCACGCUGCCUAAAAAGAAGUGAAAAAAACGAGUAACAAAAUUUUAGCAAAAAAAUCGGUUCCGUAAAUCACGAUAUGCGCGUACCUAACUGGGGGAAACCUGUUGGAUGUAACUGUUGGAUGUCCUUCUAACAAGGUAAAUAGAAGAUAAGUAAAACAAGUAUCCUUACAAGUUAUAAAGGUACUUCAAGUCGUAUUAGAGCUUUCUCAUAAAAAGACCAAACAAUUAAUUUCUACUCUUCGGAAAGGAAUAGGGAGUAAGACUGUUGUAGAAACUAACAUUUUUGGCAAGUUAAAUGUUCUUUCGGAAUCCGUAUCACAUUUUUAUCAUGUAGAAAAGAUAGAUUUCCUUGACAAUGAAUUGGGAAUUGUUGAAAAAGGAUCUUGUGUAUGUUCAAGAGUCAUCAUCUUUCACAAUGGAUUUGAUUAACCGUGGUUUAGACGUUCAUUCUGCAUUUGUACGAAUUUCUAUGGAUAGUGAAGGAUCCUUUUUGAAAAUUAUAAUCAAUGUUUUUGAUGUAAAUGAAAAAAAAGGUCUUCUGUAAUGUACAUGAAUAGUGGACUUUGUUCAAUAAAAUAAUAAUCUAAAUAAUAAAUCUAAAAAAUCUAACAUGCAACAAUAUAUGAAUGUGAUACAUCCGAGGAUUCUCUAUCUAGAGAAGUGCCUAGAUACUCUAAUUCCGCAUUUGGUACCACCUCCUGAAUUACAUUUUUUGAUUGGAGUUGUAUCUACUUUAGGGUGUCUACUUAUGGAUAUUUGGCCUGAAUUUGAUGACUGACUGAAAACUAAAAGUGUUUAUCAGAGAGGGUAUCAAGGUAGAGGUUGGGACGGAAAUAAUUCUAACAAGAUCCUGGAUGAACUUGAUAAAGUAGUAGCAUCUCAGGUUCCUCAACUGAGACCUAUAAUUCAGUGUUUGAAAGACUUUAAAAUAGUAAAAGAUUCCUAUUUUGGUCAAAUUCUUUUGACAGAGUAUAAAAUGGCAUUUACUGUUUUUAAAAAUUCUUUCCUUUCUACCCAAGAGCUUGCACAGGCUUUAGGGACAAAAUGUUUUUAAAGCUGGACGUUUCACAUCUUGCUGUGUCAUGUUUAACCCUUUGUCGAACACCAUAACUGUGGUCUAGCUAAGUUUGCUGAACAGUGUUGAGAGGCUAUCCAUUCUAAAUUUAAACCUACCUGGAGUAGUUAUAAACGUGCAGAAGACCAUGCUUAACAUGGAGAACAGCUGUUAUCCUCUGUAAUAAAUUUCAAUGAAAGAAGACUUUAAUUUAUCUUUAACUUUGACAUGUUGCUUUCUAAAGUGCAGGAAAAUGAAUUAAUGUAUAUUUGGAUUGUGUAACAAAUAUAAAUUAAUAUUGUAAA